rnacentral:rRNA from 1 species
CGAGCACGCGCGUGUGGCAUAUCAAUAAGCGGAGGAAAAGAAACUAACAAGGAUUCCCUUAGUAACGGCGAGUGAAGCGGGAAGAGCUCAAAUUUGAAAUCUUCAAGGUUCUACCUUGACGAAUUGUAGUUUAUAGAAGUGUUUUCUGUUAGUGGAGUGGCAAAAGUUCUUUGGAAUAGGACAUCAUAGAGGGUGAGAAUCCCGUAUUUGGUCAUUCCUCCUAGCGUUGUGAUACACUUUCAACGAGUCGGAUUGUUUGGGAAUGCAGUCCAAAAUGGGUGGUAAAUUUCAUCUAAAGCUAAAUAUUGGCGAGAGACCGAUAGCGAACAAGUACCGUGAGGGAAAGAUGAAAAGAACUUUGAAAAGAGAGUUAAACAGUACGUGAAUUUGUCAAAAGGGAAGCGUUUGACACCAGUGUUGUUUUCUCGAAAAUCAAUUAAAAAAGGCCGGAUUUUGUGUUGUAUUGACCUUAAAAGCUUUCUUCACUCUUUUCUUGUCUUUUUUAAUGCACUUUUCGGUCAACAAGUCAACAUCAAUUUCUUUUGUUGUAAAAGGGUAUGAGGAAGGUGGCUUUCUUUUCGGAGAAAGUGUUUAUAGCCUUGUACCUCUGCAAUCGGAGAGAUUGAGGUCUGCAGCGUAGAUCCUUCGGGGUUAGAUACAUUGGUGCUAAGCUAUAGCCUUGUAUAGACAACUUGUUGACUAUGCUCAGUCAUGUAGCUUACUCGCUGAUGCUAUUUUACCUACGCUUAGGAUGUUGAGUAGCGACAUACGCAC